rnacentral:rRNA from 1 species
GACGAACGCUGGCGGCGUGCUCAACACAUGCAAGUCGAACGAUGAACCCGGAGCUUGCUCCGGUGGAUUAGUGGCGAACGGGUGAGUAACACGUGAGUAACCUGCCCUUGACUCUGGGAUAACUGCGGGAAACUGUAGCUAAUACCGGAUACGACCCUCGGCGGCAUCGCCAGGGGGUGGAAAGAAUUUCGGUCAAGGAUGGACCCGCGGCCGAUCAGCUAGUUGGUGAGGUAACGGCUCACCAAGGCGACGACGGGUAGCCGGCCGGAGAGGGGGACCGGCCACACUGGGACUGAGACACGGCCCAGACUCCUACGGGAGGCAGCAGUGGGGAAUAUUGCACAAUGGGCGCAAGCCUGAUGCAGCAACGCCGCGUGAGGGAUGACGGCCUUCGGGUUGUAAACCUCUUUUAGUAGGGAAGAAGCGAAAGUGACGGUACCUGCAGAAAAAGCACCGGCUAACUACGUGCCAGCCGCCGCGGUAA